UACGUAGGUGACCAGCGUUGUCCGGAUUUACUGGGCGUAAAGAGCGCGCAGGCGGUCGUUCAAGUCGAGUGUGAAAGCCCCCGGCUCAACUGGGGAGGGUCAUUCGAUACUGAUCGACUCGAAGGCAGGAGAGGGAAGUGGAAUUCCCGGUGUAGUGGUGAAAUGCGUAGAUAUCGGGAGGAACACCAGUGGCGAAGGCGACUUCCUGGACUGUUCUUGACGCUGAGGCGCGAAAGCUAGGGGAGCAAACGGG
rnacentral:rRNA from 1 species